GACAGAGGGUGCAAACGUUGUUCGGAAUUACUGGGCGUAAAGCGUGCGUAGGUGGUUCGUUAAGUCUGUCGUGAAAGCCCCGGGCUCAACCUGGGAAUGGCGAUGGAUACUGGCGAGCUAGAGUGCGGUAGAGGGUGGUGGAAUUCCCGGUGUAGCAGUGAAAUGCGUAGAGAUCGGGAGGAACAUCAGUUGCGAAGGCGGCCACCUGGACCAGCACUGACACUGAGGCACGAAAGCGUGGGGAGCAAACAGG
rnacentral:rRNA from 1 species